UCAAGCAUUCACAACUUUUUUUUACCUUUUUCUUAUUUCUUAAAUGUUACACUUUUUCACACAACUUAUUAGCACCAAACUUGUUUGCUAUUUUUUUUUCUUUUUCAAGGCUUUUUUCUUUUCCUUUUCUUUUUCACUUUUCUUUUCUUUCUUUUUUCAAAAUUUUCUUUUUCUUUCUCAACCUGUUAGAAACUCACCUUUUUCU
rnacentral:lncRNA from 1 species